CAAUGUGGCUCAGAAUGUUGU
rnacentral:miRNA from 12 species